GCCGUGCGGAUGCCCCUGGACAGCACGGCGACGUCGUCGCCGACGCGGGACAGCACGUCUCCCCGGCCGACCUGUUCGAUCCGGGCGCUCGGCA
rnacentral:tRNA from 2 species